rnacentral:rRNA from 1 species
UACGUAGGGACCGAGCGUUGUCCGGAUUCAUUGGGCGUAAAGGGCUCGUAGGCGGUCUGUCGCGUCGGGAGUGAAAACUCAGGGCUUAACCCUGAGCCUGCUUCCGAUACGGGCAGACUAGAGGUAUGCAGGGGAGAACGGAGUUCCUGGUGUAGCGGUGGAAUGCGCAGAUAUCAGGAGGAACACCGGUGGCGAAGGCGGUUCUCUGGGCAUUACCUGACGCUGAGGAGCGAAAGUGUGGGGAGCGAACAGG